GUGCGCGUCGGACUGGGCGGCGGCGUCGCCGGGGCUCCGGUCACCGGACGCGCUCAUCGCGGCUCGAGCCCGCACGCGCUCGCCA
rnacentral:tRNA from 1 species